CACUGGACUCGGACGUCGGGCAAUGGGUUAUUUCCACCCCUGCAUGAUUUUGCCGGAAUGUUGCUAAAAGCGGCUCAGACAGUCUCUGUCAUACCAUGUAGAGGGUAAUGGCUCUGAAAGAGUAACUGUUAAACAGUGUCAGAUGGAUGGAUGGAUCAUGCGACAGUAGAUUGAACACAUGAGGUGACGUAAUGUCUCUUUCAAGAUUAUUUACAUAUAUAGCAAUGUGAACUGAAUAACUAGUACCAGAACAACAAGUUUGUUAGAAUUGCCAAUUUGCUCAAGCCUUUUCCCUUUAGAAUAACAAGAUUCUGCAAGAAAUGGUGUUUGCUGUCAACGUUGUUAUGCAGUGAUAGAAAUCCAAAUUUGUCCCAAUUCUGUUUUUAUGGAUUCAACUAUAGUAGGGUGUAUUUCAUCAUUCUGAGUCGAUGCUGCUAUUACAGUAGAAUUAGAUAAAGAUUGACGCUAUCUAAAGACGCUGGUCAAAUGGAGUCCUCUUCCUUUAUAAGUAAUUUGUACGGUAAACAAUGGUCGUCCAUUGCCAGAAAAGUCUUGACAAGCCUCAGCCACUUGUCACAAUGUCACAUGUCACCAGUACCCUUACCUUCCUCAGGUCACACUGUUUAUUACAUUGACUAUAUGUGUUAAUACAUGCAUAGUUACGAUAUAUUUUCUUCCAAUUUCCAUUUCAUACAAUUGCAAAGUUGUGUAUUAUCAUUGUAUUGUGGUUUUAAUGUAUAUUACUCAAGGCUCCAAAUGAAAGUUCAUGUGCCUUACACCACGAUACCAAAAAAUAUUUGAAUUUUUUUUAUGUAAGGCUUAACCAUGAUAAAAUGUUCAAUGGUUAUUUUAAUGAAUGUAUAUAAUUGAAGGAUGCAGAGAUAUGUAGGAUGUCUCAUUGUUUUUAUAUGGUAGAUGUAACAUAUGUUAUGUAAAAUAUUUUACUCAAAAGAAGUUUAAAACUCCUGAUAUUUUUAUAGUUAAUCUCACAAUGCAUGACGGAUUAACUACGAUAUAUAGUGGGUGUUCUUUAACUUCUUAAGGGGCACAGGGCGGUGGGGUAGCCUUGUGGUUAAAGUGUUCACUUGUCACACUGAAGACCUGGGUUCGAUUCCCCACAUGGGUACAAUGUGUGAAGCCCAUUUCUGGUGUCCCCCGCUGUGAUAUUGCUGGAAUAUUGCUAAAAGCGGUGUAAAACCAUGAACACCUUUUAUGGACAGUUCAUUCUUCUAAGGAACCACAAUUCUUGUCCAGAUUUGAUUAUUUACAGACUUGGUCAUGAUGUUGGAAAAUCGUUGAGUGUAGCAUUAAACAACAAACAAUUGACUGAAAUGCUCUUAAUCAUAUUAUCUUGACCUAACACAGAAACAAACUUUGUCAAAAAACUCCAAACAGUGACAGUCAAUAUUAGAGAGUGACUUUUUAAUAUAUUGCUUGAAAAUCAUAUCUGUGUAUAUACCUUAGUGUUGAAGUUACAGAUUUGAUCGUGAACAAAUGUGUUGUUGAUAUAUUGAAGGAUAUGUUGGAACAAUCCUUGUUGUAUACUUUGGAUAUCCAUAUUUGUUUGUGAUUAUGCUACAAAAGGCUUUCAUGUGUUAAUGUUUGCCAAAAUGUGCCAUGUAUUGAUAUGUUGGUGAACAUUGGCACGGCUUAUUAGUCACCAUAGCAAUGACUGUUUUACAUCUUUCUUGGUUGAGAUUUCCUUAUGCAGUAUUCAUGGUGUUGAAGUUUGUGUUGGAGAAGCAAGGUUCCAGAUUGUUCAGUUUUUGCCAGUAAAUUAUGUUAUUUCCAUAUCUGAAAAUUGAUGCAUGUCAGUAUGAGAAAUGUUUGGUCUUUGUAAUACAUUUGUCAGCAUACGUAAAACAUGUACGUUGAGUCGAGUGUCUAUCUCGGUUAUAUUGCAUACAAUUUUAAUUUUAAUGUGUUUUGCUAGUAUCGACUAGAGUGAUAUUCUAGAAGCAGUUGUGGGAGUCAGACAAGCAACACAGACAUACAAAAUACAGAAACGUGGAUUCAUGUCAGUAUUAUCCUCGGCAACCUUAGCUUAUAAGAGGUGACCAAUGGAUCAGAUGGACAGACUUUUUGAUUUGAUUGCUUGUCAUGAUAACAAGAUGGCAUUGAUAAGUGCAGGGGGGUUAUUCAAAAUGCACAUGUAGUGUACACAAGCAGUAGAGUAACGUCACACCAUAUAUACCAAUAUGCACAAAAAGUGGGAUACACUUAAUAAUAAUAAUAAUAAUAAUAAUAAUGUGGGUAUUUAUAUAGCGCUACAUCCAGGUACUAAUACCCGCUCAUGGCGCUACAAUACUAUAGGAGAAAUGAAAAUAGUUAAAACUAUUUACAGAGAGACAAUUGAACAUAGAAAGUCUAGUAAUAGGCAAGACGAAAAAAGUGGGUUUUUAGAGACGAUUUAAAUGUGUCCAAAGAUUCAGCAUUCUUGAUGUGAGUGGCAUCACAUUGGUGAUAAUGAUAUCUAUGUCCAAUAUUCCAGUAUGAGGUAAAUGUUAUAUUUACUCAGUGUGAUAUUGGACUAUGUUGAGUGACUGUAAGCUGUGGUUUGGCUGGGAUUGGGGGUUGUUAGGACUUGGAUUGAGGGGAUAUUAGGCCUUGGAUUUGGGUCGGGGCUGUUGGUGUUUAAUUAGGGUAGUGAUUUGGGGGGGAUAUUCGAGCUAGGACUGGGGGUUUAUUAGAGCUGGGAUUGGGUAGAUAAUAGGACUGGGAUUGGGUGGAUAAUAUGACUGGAUUUGGGGAAUAUUAGGACUGGGAUUAUUAGGACUUGGGUACCAGGUCAGGUGGUCCAGGCUCACCAUGUGAUUUCCCUGACCAUGGGUAAGUCAUUCAUGAUAUAUUUUGUGCAAGAACAAAACUCAGUGGUUAAACUACAGGUCACUGAUGUUGGCAUAUCUCUGAAGCAGCCAUUCCUUCUGCCUUUCACAUACCUGGGCAAUAGGAAGAUGGGCAGCCAGGUUGGGGAUUUGGACUCAGUGUUGACUUGUUUCAUGCUUGCCAUGUAUGUUUCAGUUUUAAUGAAGGAGUCAUUAAACACACAACCAAACUUUAAUUGGCCCCCACACCACCAUUCAGAUGGCACCGACCCACACACAUCAUACCUGUUGCUCAUCGCUUUCAUCCACUUGUAUUCAGAUAUAUCCCAGAAACCUGAAAUCCAUAUUGCCCCCAAGCUUCCUGUUUGAGUGUGUUCUUAUAUAACACUAAACUAUAUCACUGCUGUAUUGAUAUUUGUGAAGUGAGCUUCCUAAUUCAUCUAUUUUCAUACGUGCCAUGUCCUUGUACAUUUGAUAACCUUUUCCACUUGAAGAUGAAUAAACAGGUAUUUGAAGUGAUAA
rnacentral:lncRNA from 1 species